rnacentral:misc_RNA from 1 species
AAGGAUCAUUACCACACCAAAAAAACCCAUCCCACGUGAAUUCGUACUGUUUGUUUUGUGUUAUUUGUAUGUAUUUCUUUAACGAGUAAUAUGUACAGAUAGCUAAACGAAGGUUUUGUUUUAUAUAAAACCGAUGUACUUUUAAACCCCUUUAUUUUAUGUACGGCGAAUUAUACUGUAAGCGUGAAAACGACUACUAUUAAUUUACAAUACAACUUUCAACAGUGGAUGUCUAGGCUCGC